GACGAACGCUGGCGGCGUGCUUAACACAUGCAAGUCGAACGGACAGGCCCUGCUUUUGUGGGGUGCUCGAGUGGCGAACGGGUGAGUAACACGUGAGUAACCUGCCCUUGACUUUGGGAUAACUUCAGGAAACUGGGGCUCAUACCGGAUAGGAUCUCCUGCUGCGUGGUGGGGGUUGGAAAGUUUCGGCGGUUGGGGAUGGACUGGCGGGUUAUCAGCUUGUUGGUGGGGUAGUGGCUUACCAAGGCUUUGACGGGUAGCCGGCCUGAGAGGGUGAACGGCGACAUUGGGACUGAGAUACGGCCCAGACGCCUACGGGAGGCAGCAGUGGGGAAUAUUGCACAAUGGGCGGAAGCCUGAUGCAGCAACGCCGCGUGCGGGAUGACGGCCUUCGGGUUGUAAACCGCUUUCGAAUGUGACGAAGCGUGAGUGACGGUAAUGGGUAAAGAAGCACCGGCUAACUACGUG
rnacentral:rRNA from 1 species